AUUGAACGCUGGCGGCAGGCCUAACACAUGCAAGUCGAGCGGUUGAAGGGAGCUUGCUCCUGGAUUCAGCGGCGGACGGGUGAGUAAUGCCUAGGAAUCUGCCUGGUAGUGGGGGAUAACGUCCGGAAACGGGCGCUAAUACCGCAUACGUCCUGAGGGAGAAAGUGGGGGAUCUUCGGACCUCACGCUCUCAGAUGAGCCUAGGUCGGAUUAGCUAGUUGGUGGGGUAAAGGCCUACCAAGGCGACGAUCCGUAACUGGUCUGAGAGGAUGAUCAGUCACACUGGAACUGAGACACGGUCCAGACUCCUACGGGAGGCAGCAGUGGGGAAUAUUGGACAAUGGGCGAAAGCCUGAUCCAGCCAUGCCGCGUGUGUGAGGAAGGUCUUCGGAUUGUAAAGCACUUUAAGUUGGGAGGAAGGGCAGUAAGUUAAUACCUUGCUGUUUUGACGUUACCAACAGAAUAAGCACCGGCUAACUUCGUG
rnacentral:rRNA from 1 species